GUAGCGUAGGGUUUGGAAAUUGGGUAAUUUCGCAAACAGGUCGUGGAACCGGUGAAUUGUUUGCAAUUUCUUGCAGGAAAUUCUUGAUUGAGCUCAGAUCAAGUGGAGGUUUUAUACAAGAAGAAGAUCUUGGGAUUUAGAUUUCUGUCUUUGUAUUUUAACCUUGCAUCAACGAAUUCGGCAUUAUUGAUAAUAACAGUUCUCAAUUUCAUUUGAAAUUGAGAGGGAGACGUACCCACACGCGAGGACGACAGUGGGAAACUUCCUUACCAAAUCUCUGCGUAUCGUAUUCUUU
rnacentral:lncRNA from 1 species